GUCUAAACGUCUCCAUCUUGGUGUCUAAACGUCUCCAUCUUGGUGUCUAAACGUCUCCAUCUUGGUGUCUAAACGUCUCCAUCUUGGUUUCUAAACGUCUCCAUCUUGGUUUCUAAACGUCUCCAUCUUGGUGUCUAAACGUCUCCAUCUUGGUUUCUAAACGUCUCCAUCUUGGUGUCUAAACGUCUCCAUCUUGGUUUCUAAACGUCUCCAUCUCGGUGUCUAAACUUCUCCAUCUCGGUGUCUAAACGUCUCCAUCUUGGUGUCUAAACGUCUCCAUCUUGGUUUCUAAACGUCUCCAUCUUGGUGUCUAAACGUCUCCAUCUUGGUGUCUAAACGUCUCCAUCUUGGUGUCUAAACGUCUCCAUCUUGGUGUCUAAACGUCUCCAUCUUGGUGUCUAAACGUCUCCAUCUCGGUGUCUAAACUUCUCCAUCUCGGUUUCUAAACGUCUCCAUCUUGGUUUCUAAACGUCUCCAUCUUGGUGUCUAAACGUCUCCAUCUUGGUUUCUAAUCGUCUCCAUCUUGGUUUCUAAUCGUCUCCAUCUUGGUUUCUAAUCGUCUCCAUCUUGGUUUCUAAUCGUCUCCAUCUUGGUGUCUAAACUUCUCCAUCUCGGUGUCUAAACUUCUCCAUCUCGGUUUCUAAACGUCUCCAUCUAGGUGUCUAAACGUCUCCAUCUCGGUGUCUAAACUUCUCCAUCUCGGUUUCUAAACGUCUCCAUCUUG